rnacentral:lncRNA from 1 species
UCAUUCCUGAUUUUUUGACCUUCUUUCUAAAAAUCAUUCAUCAAAUUUGAUUACACUUUUUGAUUUUUUCCAACCUCUCAUAAUCUGACCUUCAAUAUUCAUGAAAUAUGGUUUGAAAAAUACACGAAGCGGCGAUAAAUUUUGGACUGCAAGAUCGUUGUUUGGAAUUUUUGGGCUGCGAUUUCGACGAUUCAAGAACAUACGCUAGGGAUAUCAACAUCUGGAAAUCAAAGAUUUCUGGCGGUGAUUUCGAUGAUCUUGUGUUUGCACGAUUGAAUUUGUUUUUGUGUAUCAUUUCUUUAUUUUUUCAGUCAUCUUGCUUUUCAUCGUCAUCCCCUGUUCGGAAGAAUAUAAUCAUGGAUCGCGAAAGGGUUGAAGGUGUAGUUUUGCAGCUUUUAAUUAAUUCCUCUUUUUUCGGUGUUAUGAAUCUCUAAAUUUGGAUUAUAGUUCAUUCAAGAAAAUUUAUUUUGGAAUAAAGUUCAGAAAUUUUU